UUUUUGUGGAUUAAAGUAUUAGUUUUGAGUUAAAAUUGUACUUUGAGCUAUUAGUUUACUCAAUCUAUAAAGAUUAUGUUGAUUUUUCUUAUUUUAAACUAUAUUAUGUUUAAUUUAAGUUAAAUAAUCUAUAUUUUAUAUAUUUAUAUUUAUUAUGCAUUUGUAUACAUUGUUCUGAAUUAAAUCUAAUCAAUAUCAUUUCAUGAACUUUGCAAUUUUUUUUGAAAAAUUUGCGUAGCGACUAGGCUGUUACCAUUACGUUACAGCCGUUACAGGUCUAUUUCUGUUACCCACAACGUGGCUGGGACCGCAACCGCGAACGUGGUCGCUAUCGCGAUUUAAAACCAUGUUCUAUAGUUAUUAUGUUUUUGCAUAUAGGAAUCUCCCCGUGAAAGUAAGCGGUCUACUUCUGUCCUUUGGAGCUCCUCCCAAUUCUCUUGCAAAUUGCUUAAAGUCUUGUCUCCAAUGUGUAGAUAUAAAUGUAAUCAUCCAAAGUCUGCAUACGUUGUGUUUUAUCUAAAUUAUUGUAUUCAUUUAAUCCAAUUUGUUAUUACUCAAAAUGGAUCAUGACCAGGGUUCUAAUAAUGGACAAGACAUCAUGAAUCAUUUAUAUCACAAUAGGAAUUUUGGUCGGCUGUUAUGUUGCUGUGAACUUUAGAUUAAUGACAUGGAUAAAACAUCUGAUACUUUCUGUGAUGGAACAAUAUGCAAUGACUUUUUAGUCCUGGAAAAACAAGGAGGAAAAGAGGGCAGGAAAAAGAGGAGGAGAGCGAUGGUGGCAUACCUUUAUGACCUGACUCUCUCUCUUCUUUCUUUUCCAUUUAAUGAAUUUCGUCUCCUUAGAAACCCUAAUUUUUAUUUGUCCUCCUCUAUUAAAUUUGCCAGUGGGUCAUACUUCGGGUCAUAUUAUGCUAAGUUUACCUUUUAUACAUUGAUAAAAAGAUCUCUUGGCCCAUUUACAUGAAGCAUCAUUUUCUAUCAAUUAUUAUAUACCUAAUUUCACACCUUUUUUUUUUCCAUUUUAUAAUAUACUCAUAGUGCUCUGUUAAAUGCUACCUUAAUUUUGGUCAAAUGGAAGUGAAAUCUUUACCACAUAAAGACUCAUACUGAUUUAACAAUUCGCUGUUUGGACGUAGAAGUAUACUUGAUACUUCUUUUGCUUCAGGAAUACCCACUGAUACUUGAGGAAGGCUCUGAUGUCUUUCUAUAGAUCAUACUCCAAUUACUGCAGACUAAGUAUAUUUAGCUCUCAUGUGCUUUAUUUGUUGCUUCGUUUCAAACACAAGUCCGAAUGUCUUUGGGGAUAAUUCUGAACACCUUCUAGAUCUUUUUCCUUUUCUUUUAUUGCUCAAUUUCACC
rnacentral:lncRNA from 1 species